rnacentral:rRNA from 1 species
GAUGAACGCUGGCGGCGUGCCUAAUACAUGCAAGUCGAACGGACGGACGAGAAGCUUGUUUCCUUGAUGUUAGCGGCGGACGGGUGAGUAACGUGUGCAUAACCUACCUAUAUGACUGGGAUGACUUCGGAAAGCCGGAUAUAAUAACGGAUCAUAUUUUGAACCGCCUGGAUCAGAAGUGAAAGACGGCCUUGCUGUCUCAUAUAGCUGGAUCCGCGCUGCAUUAGCUAGUUGGUAAGGUAACGGCCUACCAAGGCAACGAUGCAUAGCCGACCUGAGAGGGGGAUCGGCCACACGGGAACUGAGACACGGUCCAGACUCCUACGGGAGGCAGCAGUAGGGAAUCUUCGGCAAUGGGCGAAAGCCUGACGGAGCGACGCCGCGUGAGUGAUGAAGGUCUUCGGAUCGUAAAGCUCUGUUAUUGGGGAAGAACAUAUGUGUAAGGAAAUGUGGACAUCUUGACGGUACCUAAAGAAAAAGCCCCGGCUAACUACGUG